UAUGUUCUUCUCUGGAAUUAAGAUUGUAACACACAAUUAAGAAGAUAUAAAGGAAUGCUUGUUACUGAAAGUUAAGCAAGCAACAGAUACUGCAGUAAACAAACACAAUAUGUUCAUGGCAUUCUGAUGGUUCACAAUAAAAAAAAACAUUAUAGAUUGAUAUGAUGAUCUGAUAAUAAAGGCACGCUGCCCAUUUAAGGUUCACUAGAGUGGGGUUGAGAAGGGGAAUUUACAUAAAGCAUCUACUCUAAAAACUCAAAACUGUACCAGUGAAGUUUGUGAACACAAGUGAUAAGACCUGCACAAUUAGACCAAGCAAGGGACACAAAAAUACUUAAGAUGUCUGCAAGCAUAUCCAUUAAUCAUAAGCAAGGGCAUCUAUUUUGUGGUAAACUGAAGUUUGAAGAAUCCAGUCAGUACAAACCAGAGCAAUCCAAGGCAUCAGAUGUCAAAUGGAGGAUUAUAAACAGAUAUUUUACUUCCAACUCAACAAGCUAAGCAUAUUUUCAUGAAUUAAG
rnacentral:misc_RNA from 1 species